CCUACGGGGGGCAGCAGUGAGGAAUAUUGGUCAAUGGCCGGAAGGCUGAACCAGCCAAGCCGCGUGAAGGACGAAGGUGCCAAGCAUUGUAAACUUCUUUUGUCAAGGGACAAAAUCAGGCUCGAGAGCCUGACCGAGGGUACUUGAAGAAAAAGCAUCGGCUAACUCCGUGCCAGCAGCCGCGGUAAUACGGAGGAUGCGAGCGUUAUCCGGAUUUAUUGGGUUUAAAGGGUGCGCAGGCGGAAGAUCAAGUCAGCGGUAAUAUUGAGAGGCUCAACCUCUUCGAGCCGUUGAAACUGGUUUUCUUGAGUGAGUGAGAAGUAUGCGGAAUGCGUGGUGUAGCGGUGAAAUGCAUAGAUAUCACGCAGAACUCCGAUUGCGAAGGCAGCUUACUAAGCCAUAACUGACACUGAAGCACGAAAGCGUGGGGAUCAAACAGGAUUAGAUACCCGAGUAGUC
rnacentral:rRNA from 1 species